ACGAACGCUGGCGGCGUGCUUAACACAUGCAAGUCGAACGGAAAGGCCCUGCUUUUGUGGGGUGCUCGAGUGGCGAACGGGUGAGUAACACGUGAGUAACCUGCCCUUGACUUUGGGAUAACUUCAGGAAACUGGGGCUAAUACCGGAUAGGAGCUCCUGCUGCAUGGUGGGGGUUGGAAAGUUUCGGCGGUUGGGGAUGGACUCGCGGCUUAUCAGCUUGUUGGUGGGGUAGUGGCUUACCAAGGCUUUGACGGGUAGCCGGCUUGAGAGGGUGACCGGCCACAUUGGGACUGAGAUACGGCCCAGACUCCUACGGGAGGCAGCAGUGGGGAAUAUUGCACAAUGGGCGGAAGCCUGAUGCAGCAACGCCGCGUGCGGGAUGACGGCCUUCGGGUUGUAAACCGCUUUCGCCUGUGACGAAGCGUGAGUGACGGUAAUGGGUAAAGAAGCACCGGCUAACUACGUG
rnacentral:rRNA from 1 species